rnacentral:snoRNA from 1 species
CAUUGUGGUGGUUUUCUUUCUGGCACAUUUGUUAAGUUUUCAAAUGGGCCUGACUCUGCCACAUAUAUCAUAUAGGAGCUGGCAAAGGCUUGAUGGCAAAGAGAUCUCUUUCGAGCCUUUUCUGCAUCAGAGACGGCCUCCCACAUGU